rnacentral:rRNA from 1 species
GUUUGAUCCUGGCUCCAGAUUGAACGCUGGCGGGAUGCUUUACAUACCAAGUCGAACUUUGGCAACCUGGACUUCGGUCUGGUGGCGGAAGUAGCGAGCAGGUGAGCAUGUAUCGGAACGUGCCUAGUAGCGGGGGAUAACUACGCGAAAGCGCUAAUACCGCAUACGCCCUUCGGGGGAAGCGGGGGGACCUUCCCGGGCCUCGCACUAUUAGAGCGGCCGAUAUCGGAUUAGCUGGUUGGUGGGGUAACGGCUCACAGGGGCGACGAUCCGUAGCUGGUUUGAGAGGACGACCAGCCACACUGGGACGGAGACACGGCCCAGACUCCUACGGGAGGCAGCGGUGAAAUUUUGGACAAUGGGAAAUGAUCCAGCCAUCCCGCGUGUGCGAUGAAGGCCUUCAGGUUUGUAAGCACUUUUGGCAGGAAAAACGGCACGGGAUAAUACCCCGUGCAACUGACAGCCUGCAGAAUAAGCACCGGCCUAACUACGUUGCCAACAGCCGCUGAUGUCGUGGUCCGCGAAGCGUUAAUCAAGAUUACUGGAGCGUAAAGCGUGCGCGAGCGGUUCGGAAAGAUGCAGAAAUCCCAGAGCUUAACUUUGGAGCUGCAUUUUUAACUACCGAGCUAGGUGUGUCAGAGGGAGGUGGGAUUCGCGUGUAGCAGUGAAAUGCGUAGAUAUGCGGAGAGGAACACCGAUGGCGAAGGCAGCCUCCUGGGAUGGCACUGACGCUCAUGUGCACGAAAGCGUGGGAGCAAACAGGAUUAGAUACCCUGAUGAUCCACGCCCUAAACGUCAACUAGCUGUUGGGGCCUUCGGGCCUUGGUGCUGCAACUAACGCGUGGUUGACCGCCGCAGGGUACGGUCGCAAGAUUAAAACUCAAAGAAAUUGACGGGGACCCGCACGAAGCGGUGGAUGAUGUGGAUUAAUUCGAUGCAACGCGAAAACCUUACCUACCCUUGACAUGUCUGGAAUCGAAGAGAUUUGGGAGUGCUCGCAAGAGAACCGGAACACAGGUGCUGCAUGUGGCUGUCGUCAGCUCGUGUCGUGAGAUGUUGGGUUUAAGUCCCGCAACAGGCGCAACCCUUGUCGUGGAUUGCUACGAAGGGCACUCCCUAAUGAGACUGCCGGUGACAAGCCGGAGGAAGGUGGGGAUGACGUCAGAGUCCUCAUGGCCCUUAUGGGUGGGGCUUCACACGUCAUGCAAUGGUCGGGACAGAGGUCGCCAACCCGCGAGGGAGCAAUCCCAGAAACCCGAUCGUAGUCCGGAUCACCCAGUCUGCAACUCGACUGCGUGAAGUCGGAGAUCGCUGGUAAUCGCGGAUCGGCACUGUGUCGCGGUGAAUCGUUCCGGGUCUUGUACACACCGCCCGUCACACCAUGGGGAUGGGUUUACCAGAAGUAGUUAGCCUAGCCAACCGCAGGGAGGGCGUGCCACGGUAAGUUCAUGACUGGGGUGAAGUCGUAACAAAGGUAG